AGUGAACGCUGGCGGUAGGCCUAACACAUGCCAGUCGAACGGCAGCACAGUAAGAGCUUGCUCUUACGGGUGGCGAGUGGCGGACGGGUGAGGAAUACAUCGGAAUCUACUUUUUCGUGGGGGAUAACGUAGGGAAACUUACGCUAAUACCGCAUACGACCUACGGGUGAAAGCAGGGGAUCUUCGGACCUUGCGCGAUUGAAUGAGCCGAUGUCGGAUUAGCUAGUUGGCGGGGUAAAGGCCCACCAAGGCGACGAUCCGUAGCUGGUCUGAGAGGAUGAUCAGCCACACUGGAACUGAGACACGGUCCAGACUCCUACCGGAGGCAGCAGUGGGGAAUAUUGGACAAUGGGCGCAAGCCUGAUCCAGCCAUACCGCGUGGGUGAAGAAGGCCUUCGGGUUGUAAAGCCCUUUUGUUGGGAAAGAAAAGCAGCAGGUUAAUACCCCGCUGUUCUGACGGUACCCAAAGAAUAAGCACCGGCUAACUUCGU
rnacentral:rRNA from 1 species